UGAGAUAGAGGACGCGUCACGUCAAAAGUAACCAUCCCGCUAAACAGUGCAGUGCAGGGUGAAGCGAAAGGGACUGACGCCGAAGUGAGGCAGGGCUGCAUCCCGGGCCGAUCUGGGCGGACGCAAUAAGAUGCGUACGACUGUCGCGAAUACGCGGAGAGCUAUC
rnacentral:ncRNA from 1 species